GACGUAGGGCGCGAGCGUUGUCCGGAUUUAUUGGGCGUAAAGAGCUCGUAGGCGGCUUGUUACGUCGGCUGUGAAAUCCCGCGGCUCAACUGCGGGUCUGCAGCCGAUACGGGCAGGCUAGAGUUCGGUAGGGGAGACUGGAAUUCCUGGUGUAGCGGUGAAAUGCGCAGAUAUCGGGAGGAACACCAAUGGCGAAGGCAGCUCGCUGGGACGUUACUGACGCUGAGACGCGAAAGCGUGGGGAGCAAACAGG
rnacentral:rRNA from 1 species